rnacentral:rRNA from 1 species
UUGCCUUAGUAACGGCGAGUGAAGCGGCAAUAGCUCAAAUUUGAAAUCUGGCUCUUUUAGAGUCCGAGUUGUAAUUUGUAGAAGAUGCUUCGGCUUACGUAUCGGUCUAAGUUCCUUGGAACAGGACGUCACAGAGGGUGAGAAUCCCGUUUGUGGCCGGUACUUCCGCUAUGUGAAGCUCCUUCGACGAGUCGAGUUGUUUGGGAAUGCAGCUCUAAAUGGGAGGUAAAUUUCUUCUAAAGCUAAAUAUUGGCCAGAGACCGAUAGCGCACAAGUAGAGUGAUCGAAAGAUGAAAAGCACUUUGGAAAGAGAGUUAAAAAGUACGUGAAAUUGUUGAAAGGGAAGCGCUUGCGACCAGACUUGUCUUUAGUUGCUCCGCUGGUCCUUCGACCAGUGUAUUCUUCUAUUGUCAGGCCAGCAUCAGUUUGGGUGGUUGGAUAAAGUCAUGAGGAAUGUGACUCUCUUCGGGGAGUGUUAUAGCCUUGUGUGCAAUACAGCCUACCUAGACUGAGGACCGCGCUUCGGCUAGGAUGCUGGCGUAAUGGUCGUAAGCGGCCCGUCUUGAAACACGGACCAAGGAGUCUAACAUCUAUGCGAGUGUUUGGGUGUCAAACCCGUGCGCGAAAUGAAAGUGAACGGAGGUGGGAACCUUUGGGUGCACCAUCGACCGAUCCUGAUGUCUUCGGAUGGAUUUGAGUAAGAGCAUAGCUGUUGGGACCCGAAAGAUGGUGAACUAUGCCUGAAUAGGGUGAAGCCAGAGGAAACUCUGGUGGAGGCUCGCAGCGGUUCUGACGUGCAAAUCGAUCGUCAAAUUUGGGUAUAGGGGCGAAAGACUAAUCGAACCAUUAAAAAAA